rnacentral:tRNA from 1 species
AAGGGCUUAGGAUAGUCAUAAGACCAAGGACCUUCAAAGCCCUAAGCAGAAGUGAAAACCUUCUAGCCCUUG